CAAUAGCGUAUAUUAAAGUUGUUGCAGUUAAGAAGCUCGUAGUUGGAUUUCUGGUGGGAGCGAUCGGUCUGGCGCUUAGCGCGAGUACUUGCAUCGUCUCCGGCCAUCCUUGGGGAGAGUCUGUCUGGCAUUAGGUUGUCGGGCAGAGGAUCCUCAUCGUUUACUGUGAAAAAAUUAGAGUGUUCAAAGCAGGCUUAUGCCGUUGAAUAUAUUAGCAUGGAAUAAUAAGAUAGGACUUUGGUACUAUUUUGUUGGUUUGCGCACCAAAGUAAUGAUUAAUAGGGACAGUUGGGGGUAUUCGUAUUCCGUUGUCAGAGGUGAAAUUCUUGGAUUUACGGAAGACGAACUACUGCGAAAGCAUUUACCAAGGAUGUUUUCAUUAA
rnacentral:rRNA from 1 species